GUAGGUGGCAAGCGUUGUCCGGAAUUAUUGGGCGUAAAGCGCGCGCAGGCGGUUCUUUAAGUCUGAUGUGAAAGCCCACGGGCUCAACCGUGGAGGGCCAUUGGAAACUGGAGAACUUGAGUACAGAAGAGGAAAGCGGAAUUCCACGUGUAGCGGUGAAAUGCGUAGAGAUGUGGAGGAACACCAGUGGCGAAGGCGGCUUUCUGGUCUGUAACUGACGCUGAGGCGCGAAAGCGUGGGGAGCAAACAGGGUUAGAUACCCUGGUAGUCCACGCCGUAAACGAUGAGUGCUAAGUGUUAGGGGGUUUCCGCCCCUUAGUGCUGCAGCUAACGCAUUAAGCACUCCGCCUGGGGAGUACGGCCGCAAAGGCUG
rnacentral:rRNA from 1 species